AGCGUAGGCGGACAUUUAAGUCAGAGGUGAAAUCCCGGAGCUUAACUUCGGAACUGCCUUUGAUACUGGGUGUCUUGAGUGUGAGAGAGGUAUGUGGAACUCCGAGUGUAGAGGUGAAAUUCGUAGAUAUUCGGAAGAACACCAGUGGCGAAGGCGACAUACUGGCUCAUUACUGACGCUGAGGCCCGAAAGCGUGGGGAGCAAACA
rnacentral:rRNA from 1 species